AUUGAACGCUGGCGGCAGGCUUAACACAUGCAAGUCGAGCGGGGAAGGGUAGCUUGCUACAUUACCUAGCGGCGGACGGGUGAGUAAUGCUUAGGAAUCUGCCUAUUAGUGGGGGACAACAUUCCGAAAGGAAUGCUAAUACCGCAUACGCCCUACGGGGGAAAGCAGGGGAUCUUCGGACCUUGCGCUAAUAGAUGAGCCUAAGUCAGAUUAGCUAGUUGGUGGGGUAAAGGCCUACCAAGGCGACGAUCUGUAGCGGGUCUGAGAGGAUGAUCCGCCACACUGGGACUGAGACACGGCCCAGACUCCCACGGGAGGCAGCAGUGGGGAAUAUUGGACAAUGUGCGAAAGCCUGAUCCAGCCAUGCCGCGUGUGUGAAGAAGGCCUUUUGGGUGUAAAGCACUUUAAGCGAGGAGGAGGCUACUUGGAUUAAUACUCUAGGAUAGUGGACGUUACUCGCAGAAUAAGCACCGGCUAACUCUGUGCCAGCCGCCGCGGUAA
rnacentral:rRNA from 1 species